UUCCAGAGAUGGAUUGGUGCCUUCGGGAACUCGAACACAGGUGCUGCAUGGCUGUCGUCAGCUCGUGUCGUGAGAUGUUGGGUUAAGUCCCGCAACGAGCGCAACCCUUGGUCCUUAGUUGCCAGCACGUAAUGGUGGGAACUCUAAGGAGACCGCCGGUGACAAACCGGAGGAAGGUGGGGAUGACGUCAGUCAUCAUGGCCCUUNCGACCAGGGCUNCACACGUACUUACNAUGGUAGGGACAGANGGCUGCAAACCCCGCGAGGGCCANCCNAUCCCAGAAACCCUAUCUCANUCCGGAUUGNAGUCUGCCACUCGACUCCAUGAAGUCNGAAUCGCANUAAUCGCACAUCAGNAUUGCUNCNGUGAAUANNUNCCCNGGGUCUGGUACACACCG
rnacentral:rRNA from 1 species